AAAAAGGGUGUUGGCCGCUUCAUUGGCUCGCGUCCCCUUGGGGGCGCAGAGUAUGGAUAUCAUACUCAACACGUCGUUUUUUUCAAUACGAAGUAGUUGACUACCUGUGU